UACGGAAGGGGCAAGCGUUGUUCGGAAUCAUUGGGCGUAAAGGGCGCGUAGGUGGUCCUGUGUGUCUAUCGUGAAAGCACACGGCUUAACCGUGUAAAGUCGGUGGAAACUGCAGGACUUGAGGUUGGGAGGGGCUGGUGGAAUUCCCUGUGUAGCGGUGAAAUGCGUAGAGAUGGGGGAGAACACUUGUGGCGAAGGCGGCCAGCUGGACCAAUCCUGACACUGAGGCGCGACAGCGUGGGGAGCAAACAGG
rnacentral:rRNA from 1 species